GUCAUAGCUCAGUGGUAGCACAUCUGUCUUGCAUGCACAAGGUCCUAGGUUCAAUCCCCAGCAUCUCCA